rnacentral:rRNA from 1 species
AUUGAACGCUGGCGGCAGGCCUAACACAUGCAAGUCGAGCGAGCGGCGGACGGGUGAGUAAUGUCUGGGAAACUGUCCGAGGGAGGGGGAUAACUAUUGGAAACGGUAGCUAAUAUCGCACACCAUCACAGGUGCCCAGAUGGGAUUAGCUAGGAGGUGGGGUAACGGCUCACCUAGGCGACGAUCCCUAGCUGGUCUGCGAGGAGGAUCAGCCACACUGGAACUGAGACACGGUCCAGACUCCUACGGGAGGCAGCAGUGGGGAAUAUUGCACAAUGGGCGCAAGCCUGAUGCAGCCAUGCCGCGUGUAUGAAGAAGGCCUUCGGGUUGUAAAGCACUUUCAGCGGGGAGGCGUUACCCGCAGAAGAAGCACCGGCUAACUCCGUGCCAGCAGCCGCGGUAAUUC